rnacentral:rRNA from 1 species
AUUGAACGCUGGCGGCAUGCUUUACACAUGCAAGUCGAACGGUAACAGGCCUUCGGGUGCUGACGAGUGGCGAACGGGUGAGUAAUGCAUCGGAACGUGCCCAGAGGUGGGGGAUAACGCAGCGAAAGCUGUGCUAAUACCGCAUGUGAUCUGAGGAUGAAAGCGGGGGACCAGGCAGCAAUGUUUGGCCUCGCGCCUUUGGAGCGGCCGAUGUCAGAUUAGGUAGUUGGUGGGGUAAAGGCCUACCAAGCCGACGAUCUGUAGCUGGUCUGAGAGGACGACCAGCCACACUGGGACUGAGACACGGCCCAGACUCCUACGGGAGGCAGCAGUGGGGAAUUUUGGACAAUGGGCGCAAGCCUGAUCCGGCAAUGCCGCGUGCGGGAAGAAGGCCUUCGGGUUGUAAACCGCUUUUGUACGGAACGAAAAGGCUCUGGCUAAUACCUGGGGCUGAUGACGGUACCGUAAGAAUAAGCACCGGCUAACUACGUG